UCAUCCCUGCUUACAGCUGUGAUUAAACUUUUCUAGACCCUUUCAGAGUUGCCUACAUUAUGGGGUGACAUUACCUGUACAUGAUGGAGUCUUGAUAAUAGAGAUGGGGAAGAAUAAGUGCAACCUGACAGUACAGAGCUUUGAUUUCCUAGGCUUGGUAAAAUUUGUUUGAAGCAAUUAUGGGUCCAAAACAACUGUCUUUUCCUGUUACUCUUUACCUCAUGCAGUUAUUUCCAGCUUAAUUAAUCAUUCAAAAGACUGGGCUGUUCAAAUUUGGUGAGUUCUGAUCACCCACCUUUGCUCAAAAUGAGAGGAAAAGGGAACAACAAAUAUAGGCUUAAAUAGGCUCUCGUGCAUUCCCAAACAAAGAUCUCAAAUCAGGAAAGACAGACUGCUUACAGGUGAAAGAAGCAGAGAGUUCCACAGUGAGACAGCUGACAUUAAAUCUUUCUUCCCACUCCUGAGGGUUUUUGACUCACAAUAAUUUUUUUCCUACCUGUUCCUUCCUCCCUCAUAGCAAUUGGAGCACUGUGUGGCUGCUCUUGACUGUCUUCCUUACACCCUUUCUGGCAAAAAUUGCCAUCCUGUUUCCCCCACACACCCCUAAGAAAAUCUUCUAUAAAGGUUGAGCUGAUAUUUUAAAGCUAUUAGUUUAUAUGUUUGCUACAGAAGCUUCAAUAACGUUAUAUGUUAGUGCUUCAGUCUCAGUUUUUCUUGACUUAGUACCAGUCCUUGGAUAAGGAUGCCUGCUUGGAUCUUUAAUUCAAUUUGUGCAUUUAAAAAAAAUAUUUUCUAGAUGGUGGUUGAGAGAAUGCAUUCAGAUUAAGUCUAAUCUGGUCCCUCUGCAGAGAAAGCUUGUGGGAUCUCAGCCAGUGAUGCCUGCAGGAGAGGACAGGCAAGACUGAAGGAACCAAGAUCCCAGAAUGGGCACAAAUAGGAUUUUUCUUAGAACAAGCAUUCAUAGUCCUUCUGUGAAUGAUGGAACAUGGAGAAUACCUCCUGGAUUUUUUUUCCUGCCCACCCCUAAUCUGUGUGAUGGCACUGAAGUCCAUGUGCUCUGAGCUGGCGUGCUGCACCACAGCCCUGCUCCCCUGCAGCCCAGCCCUCUCUACAUGACACUACAGCAUGCAGGUCACUCCAAUCCUGGCACAGGAGGUUGAGGAGCUGUGAAACAAGCUGUGACACUGCUUUGUGAGGUGGGAGGAGUACAGUGCCCCAGACAUACACAGGCACCACAGUGCUUAUUAUUUAAGAGGGUAGACAAAGUCUCUGGGCUGCUGUGAGUCAAAUGCACAGCACACUCAAAUGUGCCGUGCUCAUGUGCAGCCUGUCAGGGGAAAGAGCUUUUUUGUUUGGGCUUAGCAGAAAUCAUAAAUAUAUACAUAAAUAAAUAUUCAGAACUACCUUAAA